GUUAGACAGCAUGAUGGUCUGGGUCUGUUUGGAGCGCACCUGACAGGUGAAAUUCACCGUCUGGAACAAAGAGAACGCAGAAGAGAGGCCCCACUGAGUGAAGAAAUACCUAGCUGAGCGCCGUGUCAUGCCAAAGAGUCGUGAAAUGGCAGCUGGCCAAGAACAGGAGCCUUGUUCAAAGACCUCGGAUUGUCCCAUCUACUUGGGGCUCUUGGGUCCAGGGAAUCUAGGAGGGAGCCCGGCAACACGCUACUGGAAGCUUCUGGUAUCUUCCAGGGCACGAGUGGUUAGAUACCCCGGACAAGUGAUUUGGAGUAUUAUUUUAUAAGGCUGUUGACCAUUU